rnacentral:rRNA from 1 species
UACGUAGGGUGCAAGCGUUAAUCGGAAUUACUGGGCGUAAAGCGUGCGCAGGCGGCUUUGCAAGACAGAUGUGAAAUCCCCGGGCUUAACCUGGGAACUGCAUUUGUGACUGCAUGGCUGGAGUGUGGCAGAGGGGGGUGGAAUUCCACGUGUAGCAGUGAAAUGCGUAGAGAUGUGGAGGAACACCGAUGGCGAAAGCAAUCUCCUGGACGCAAACUGACGCUGAGAUACGAAAGCCAAGGUAGCAAACAGG